UUAUGCAUUUAUGUUAUUAUAUUUUCCUCUGAAUUGAAGUGUGGUACUACUAAAGAAACUGAUUUCUAGUUUUUUUAUACCAGGUUCUCAGUGAAAAUGAGCCGGAUGACAAAACUUCAGAUCGUAAAGCCAUUCCGUUAAAAAGGAGGAAAUAUAAAUGAUUUGCGCUAUAUUUUUUGCUCUUCUUUUAUUAAAAUUAGUCUGAGCAAAAUUUUCAGUAAGUGUGCCUUUCAACUGAAAAGAAUGAUAGCACAUGUUUUCUAAUUUUUUUUCCUGAAGGCUAUGUGCCUGUGAAAAGAAAACUUUGGAGUAGAAAUAGCAGUGAAAACAGUAAAGAAAAAUAUAAAAUUAUAAUAUUGCUGAUACCACUUCUCUGUACUUAGAUUAUGUAUAGUUUUUCCCUAAAAUACUUCUAGUUAUUAUUUUUCACCCAUUUUUCCAACCCUAAUGUAAAAAUAAGAUAUAGAAGAUAGUAUGUCAAUAUUCUGUGAUGCACUGUUUCUAUGAUCCAUGGUAUUCUCUAAUAUGAAUAGGACACUCUUAUCCUUGCAGUUAACAUUCCUAAGAUUUCAUUAAGAUUUUUAAUGAAAGUAAAAUCUUUACAUCCCCUAAUAUCUAGUACUUGCUCUCAGGUUCCAUUCUUAAUACAUAUAGGCCCCAGUUCUGCACAGACUGAAAUGUAUGUUAUUAUGUGUAAGCAUACUGAGUAGUUCUCUUCAUUAUUUUGCUCUUGUGUUUCGGACUUACAAAGCUAAUAGUGACAUUACACAAUCAUUAUUCUCAGAAUUACUUAGGACUGCAUAAAGCUUAAACCUAAUAUAAUAGUCUUAGUUCACACCUUCUAACCAUAUCUCUUAACUUAAAUAAUGCACAAUUAUAAUAAUUUGUGGACCAGAAUGGGUAAAUAUUUAACUGCGAAUUAGAACAAGCGAGAAAGGCAACUGCUGUAGUGUAAAAACCCAUAUAAGCGGAGAUGGCUAUUGCAUUCUUUAGCUGUAGCAUCUGGGAGAGGAUGAUCAGUUUGUUUCCCCAGUGACUAACCAAGCCAAAAAGUCACAGCAGGAGCACAGCUGAGGACAGAAGGAAAAGAAAGGGAUUUUGAGCCUCCCCAAAAAUGAUGUCAAUUCUUUAGAUCAGAUUUCCAUUCCAAACAACUUGGACUCAUCAGAGUGGUAUAUGUCUAAUCUGCUGUGGUAGUAGGUAUGAGGUUAAGCUGCAGUUUCUAUAAUGGAAUCCUUUCUUCAUGCAGUUCUCAUUACAGCACUAUCUGAACACCUCCUCAUAGUGCCUGUCCUGCAUUACAGGUUCUUCUCCUCAGAGAAUGCCAUUAGAUUGUCAGAGAAUCUCCUGAUAUGGUUCUCUUAUGUCAGACGAAGGAAACUGUUGAUAACUGGAUCCAGUCUAGAGACCUAGAAGACACUUCUUUAGGAAUCCUGGAUUUAUGCCCUGGAGGAUCCUGAGACCCCGAAUUUGUGAAUUAAAAGUCUAGAGAAAAUCAGUAUAAAGAACGGCUUAUAAUAACCUGCGUUGCUGAGAUGACAUCCCCCCAGCUUUCUGUACUUGGAGUGUCCUAUAUGCAGCAGACUUCGUGCUUGGAUAUACUGGAUUGCUUAGAUCCAAUUGAGAGGUGGCAAAACCAAAGCAAGCAGAACAGUUGCCAAAUGAUCUUCUCCACAGCACCCAUGAACUUCAACCUUGAACGAAAGAAGACUCAUCAAAUGCCUUAGGAAAGACAGUAUGGAGUUGGAAGAGAAGCAGGGAUCUCCAUGAAGAGCAGUCAGUUAUAGUCGUGGUGUGUGGAGGAACAGGUCCUGUUCUCGCUGUUGUUACUCCCACAUAGGCAGACUCUGUAAUUGAUUAUGUGUGGGUAGGGCUCUAUUGAAAUUCAGGAGAUUCUGCAGUUGUGCGGGGUUCUUUUUGUGAAAGUUCAGUUGCAAGAUCAGGACCCUACUGUGACUCCUUACUGUGCAUUCUGUCACUGUCUCGUUGAUUGUACUGGAACCUGCCUAUUGGGAUAAUUACCAAAUACUAUAUUCCUCAAAACUUCUUAAUGGCACUGAGGCUUUGUGGAUAAUUGGUCACAUGAUGAGAAAAUUCAUUUACAAAAGCAAGAAAACCGAUAUCAAGAGAAGGAGAUGAUGUUUUGGAAUGUAGGGAGUGGGCAUUUGCUGCAUAGCUACACAUUAUCUGGGCUUGAGAAUACCUCAAGAGCUGAAAUGCCAAACUACAGCAACAGAGUAAGUUUCCUUCUGUGCACUAAGAAGGAGGAGCAAAGGAAUGUGCCUGAACAUUCAGCAUGUUAGUUGUUGCAAGUCUCUGAGAUCUUUUCCUCUACUGCUGUUUGUACUUUGCUUGUACCCUGACUGUCCAGAAUGCAGCAUGUCUUUACUUGUGUCCAAUGAGGCACUCCUCACAUUGUAACAUCAUGAACAUUGUUUUUCUUCAACCCUUGAAAGUCAAAACAUGGUAGCAUAGGUAGAUGUAACAAGUUAGUAAUAAAUGUGACACAAAAUAAUUUUCUCAUUUCACAGUAUCUAUAGGAAAAACAAUGUUUUAUGCAUUUCAUAUACCUCCUCUUUUCCAACCCUAAACAGAUUUAAUGCAUGAAAAUUUUCUUCAGCAAUGCCCUCAGUUCUUUAUUUCCAGUUAAAACUGUUGGUUUUUGUUAGCAGGUGUUUUUGUAUUUAGGUUGAUGCCCUCACAAAACCUCUCUGGAUCCUUUAUGAAUGAUACUAUCAUGCUGUCAUUUGUUUUGUCAUCAAAUCUAGUGUAAACCUGUGUUUUGGGAAUCUUUGUCCUACCCUUAAAGGAUGAUCAUUCUUCUCUGUCAGCAGGUUUUUCAUGGAUCAAGUCUUUAUUAGAAAAUCUUUUACUUUGCUUUGACAAAACGCAGCAUUGCCUUGCUCAUUAGCUAGUCAAAGUGCUGCUCUACUGUAAAUACCAUUUUCCAAACCUACUCCUUUGGUAUUUUGAAUUUCCUGCUUCAUUUAAAAGCAAAAAGGAUAAGCUAUCUGUCUUUAUUUUCAAGGCUCAUCAAGACUACUUCUACCUGAUACCUCUCCUUCAGUAUCAAGAGGGUGACUCUGGUUUUGAUCAACAUUUGAUGCCAGCUUCCAUCAUUCAGUCAUUAAAUUUUCAGACCACACUGAAUAUUUUCUCCUCAGCUGCCUCUCAUGGAUUGGUUGACUUCUUCACAAACAGAAUUGUUCACUAUCUUCCCUUUAAUUUUUUCUUAAAAGUUUUAUGUACUGUGAAGCUUUAAGCAAUCCAACUAGACAACAGUUAUAUUGCAGGCAUAUUAAUGCCAAUGCAUAUCACAGUAGUACUGUGUCAUUGCAUUUGGGCUCUGCCAUAAUCCCUCUGUUGUCUCUUUAUGUAGAAUUUAAGCAUAUCUAUAUUUUGUUGUGUUUUGUUCAUGGCCCGGUGUAAUACAAAGUGGCCCAGGGUGAGGCCUUCCAAGAUUUAUGGUAGUACAGAUAAAUAACAAUGAAUAUACACUGGAUGCUGCAGUGUAGCUGUUGGAUUCUGGUGUGCCUAAUGCCAUGUCAUAUUUAAUGCGGAAAGAAGGUGCUCCAACCAGAGAAAAAGAAAGUGAGUUGCAGCCAACAGAAAAAAUGCUAGCCCCAAAGGCCGCCUCAGCUGCCAAACUCAAGUCCGUAGCUACUGGCAUUGUGUCCUGAAAGCAUCUCUCUCUUCUCUUCUCCACAGCAGUAAGAACAGAUUCUCCCUUCUCGUGUAAGGAAGUAAAUGCAAAUAUCACAAAGUUCUGUAGUGUGUGCAGAAGGACUUUCUAUACUUUUGUAGCAUCCUUCAUGUAUUCCAUUCCUGACACAGCAUCUCUUGGUACAGAAAUCUUGAAUAACAACUGUGCCAUUCAUCAGACCUUUUUUCAAAUGCCAUUUGAUCUCUGUUGGGAAGGAACCUACACUAGUUUUUAUUUGGUAUCUUGGCACAUUGCUAUCUCAUAGUGCUCUGCUGCCAUUGUGCCUUGAAAGUAAUGAGUCUUCAGAGAAGUGGUAAGGAUGAAUUCAAUCAGGAAUUCCCCAGGUAUGUCACCCUCUUUCUGUAAUUGGAUCUGCAUGUAACCCUUUACUUUCUUUUAAAGACACUGAAAUACCAGUGUGUAGAUCAUACAGAGAGGAUGGAAUGUUGAGUGCCUGGCUGAUUACAGACGGUAGAUUGGACUGUGCAGACAAAUGGCGCAGUAUGUACCAAAGAAAAUAUAGUCCAAUGGUUUAAUUUUAUCAGAAUAAACCACAAAAUGUAGUUCUAGAUGGUUCCAUGGCUGAAUAGGAGAACUUUAGUAAGAGCUGUGGGCUAGUUGGUGGGAUGGAGGCAGUUGCUGUGAAAGCCAUUACAAAAAGAAAUUGAACUCAUUUCACUGGCAAGGUUUAUGACAGGGAGAUUAGGGACAUCCCCAAAUAGGAGUUGAUUUUUAUAGAGAAUAGCUCAGAUUUGAUAUAUCAAGAAAAAAUUUUUUAACAAAUUGAUUGAAUAAACAUUAAUAAAUUACCUAAUAACUUGCUGUUCAUUUAGUAGUCCUAGAAAAAUUCGGAAAUUAUAUUGCUGAACAAACCAUGAACUGUGUUGUGUAAUCUGAUACUUUAAUUAGCUUUGAUAACAGAGGACUGAAAAGUAACAAAUGUGACCCUAGUUUUAAAAAGGGUUUUAGGGGUGGUCGUGGACUAAAGGACUAAAAAGUCAGACUACCAUGACAGACAAACUGCCAGUGAUUGUGAUAAAGCAUACAAUUAAUAGGAACGUGGAUAGGUGUAAUAGCAACCAUCAUGGCUUUUGUACAAGUAGUUUUGAAUUAGAGCUUUGCUAGUUAUUUGAAGGAAACAUUUCCAGAUGCACAGGAAAAAGUGACCCAAAACUUUUUAAAAAGUUCUGUAAUUGAAGACUGUUAACAAAAUGAAAUAUGGAGUCACUUAAAAUUCUUUGUGGAUUAGUAAAGGGUUUUAGAAGAUAAGGAACAGUAUAGUGACUAAUGGGUGGUUUUAACACUGCCCCCUCUCAGAGGUUUGUGCUGGCACCUUUGCUGGUCCACCUGUUCCUAAACAGCCUGAAAAAGUGUGGUUGUAAAGAUUGCAGAUGAUAAAGGGAAAAUAUUCACAGUUGGAGUCAGACCUAAUGUUGACCCUGAAGAGCUGCAGAAGGAUCUCACAGCAGGACCUGUGGUGAUCCAGGAGCCAUGGCUGUCACAGUGGCCAGAUAUUGCUGCCCCCACUGUUCAGCCAUAUCCAUCAUCAGAGAGAGGCAGUGGCUGUUGGAUUACAGCAGCCAUCAGCCCGUAAAUGGUGAGCUCAGCAGGCUGUGACCAGUCUUGCCACUCAGGAAGGCAGGGACUUGUAGCUGUUCUUUUUAACAUCAGGGGCUGCAAAAUCAAGAGAAGAUUCUUUCUCCCUGUUUUUUAGAGGUUCAUAACCCCAACAAGCUUAAAGUACAUGUUUUGAACUUGGAGUUCCUGCCUGCUACAGGGUUGAAAUGUCACUGUUAAUGUGAUGGGUAAUGUCUUGCUGCUGUGAGAAGCCAGGGCUCUCAAGCCACCUUACUGGUGUUUGCAUGGAUUUUUAGCAGCUUUGUUAAUUUCUUAAAAUCAUUCUGGAUCUGUAAAUAAUAGUUUGUCAUCCUCAUUGAUUGAUGAUAAAUUUUUAAACAUGAAUCAAGUGUAUAUUUUCUUAAAUCUGUAGAUUUUUUUAUUGUUCCUUUUUCUGGCAGUAGCAAUAUUGUGGAUGGGCAGAUCAGUUUUACUUCUAUUGUUCAUAAACCUGUGGGCAAUUGAAAAUGCCAGUUUGCUGCUACUUCAGAAGCUAAAAGCAGUCACAGGCCCUAAAAUUAAUCCUGGGGGAAAUCAGAUAAUGAAGCAACAAUGCUUCACACAGCAACCAGAAGGUGUGGAGGGAAGGAUGGAGUACCUUUGCAUUGUACCUUUGCAACAGCUGGAGUGGUUUCUAAGCUGUUGUCUGCAAACCCCUGGUGGACUCCAAGGUGAUGGUGGAUUGAACAGCUGUUUGGCUAAACCAUAAGAGUGUUUCCAAUUAAAAGUUUGAUCAGAUGGGUGUGUGGUGGCUUUUGAAAGUUGCUGAGGGCUGAUAAUGAUCUGUUGCUCAAAAAAAAGUGGGAACUGAUGUUCUGGAGUGUAUGAAAAAGUAGAGAGCACUCCCUACCUUCCAAGCUUUAGGUAAGCUACGUGCCUCUCCACAACAAGCAACAGCAAGAGGUGCCCAGAAGGGAGCCAGGAAGAGCAGUCUGGCAGCAUUAAUCCUUCUGACCCUAUCACACCUUCCUCAGUAACAGAAGUAUGAGGUUCUUAAUUGUUGUGUUGUCCUUGAGUAUCCCUAAAAUUCGUCACUAGUCCUACUUUUCAUAUAUAUUCCUGACUAGUAGAUCUAGUUUUCUGAGAAGUAAGUAUAAUUUUUCAAGUCUAGGGUCCUCAUCUGACAAAGACUAAACUUGUCAACUCCUCUAGAUUACAAUAUAUAUCCUUCUUUGAAUUAAAGCCUGAUUUCUCAUUGCCAGAAAAACAGAUUUUAAAAUUUUCUAUUCUGUCAUUAUUAACGGGCAUAAACUUUCCUUACAAUUAUGAACAUGUCUUAUUACCUGUGUAUUACUUUUUCAAAAAUCCCAGUUGUAUUUCAUCAACUUCUUUUAAUUUAUUUCCCUGAAUGAAAAUUUUACUUUGUAAAAAGCUUCUUUGUCCUCAUAUCAUGUCUCUUACUACUUUUUUCUUACUAUUGAAAAUUUUCCAGCAUCAUAAAAUAUUUCUAUUAUCAGUGCUUUUAGUUGCCCUUGACAUAGUUUACUUCCCAUUGUCCUGAGUACCAUACAAGCACAUCCAUAAAUAAUUUGUAGAGAUACUAGCUUUUCCAACCUUCUGUGCAUAUUUAUGUUAGGAAUUGCAGUGGUGCCCAAUUUGAGGUACACCAAGUUAUAAGCCAUAUUCAAGUGGUAUAAAUAUGUUUAUCUUAAAGAAAUAAUUUGUCUGAUCUAAAAUCAUUGUAGUGUAUUUAAUGAUAUUUAAACAAAAUACAAGAAACAAAUACUGACAAUAGUUUUUUAAAAGGAUAAAAGCAAGUUGGUAGGUGUUCUGUUUAACCUUUUUGUGUUCCAUUUCUCUUACUCAUGUCUUUUGAUACAUAUGUGGAGAAUGAGGAGGGUUGUGCUUGUUUUUGUGUUAUCUUGCUAAAUACCUGUUGCUAGCUUACAUGAUUCUGAUGUUGUCUUUGCUCAGGCUUGAGCUACAAGCUGAAUAAGAAAUUGAGGGGAAUCUUUGCCUUGUAUCAGAAAGCAACUUGUAAGGAAGGAGAGAGUGACUUCUGCUAUAGUGUGGAAAAAGGUGAUUUCCUGACUUUACCUGUGAUUGACAGGAGGGAGGGAUUUAUGACUCUAGGCAAAGCAUAUGAGUACAGAAGCAGUGAUGGGGUGUAUUGUUAGGUCUGAGGGUAAGUGUACGUGAAUGAAGAAUUUGGAAUAGGUAUCAGAGAAGGGGUUUCAAUAAGAGUUGGAAAGAUCACAGUUGGAUAAAUACACUGGGGUCAGCUGAAAGUCACUUUACUAGAGAACAUGGCUACAGCUCUCUAUCUGACUCUAGCUCACUCCACACUUGUCCUAGCUACACCCUUACCUGUCUUCUGGAACCUCAGCUUCUUCUUCAGUAACGCAUUAUCCUUUUAAGUGGAAAACCUACUUUCCUACUUACUCCAGUAACAAUUACAUGCAGAGGUACAAAUGGUCCUAUAAAUCUUUGACAUCUAAAGCUUGUCUUCUGUCCCACUAUACUUUCUUCAGCCUCCGGUCUCUGGAGUUCUGCACUGCAGAUGCAGACAGACAAAUGAAUCACAGAAUAGAACCAUUUAGUUUGGAAAAGGCCCUUAAGAUCGUCAAGUUAACUAUAAACGUAACAGUAAAAGUCCACCACUAAACUGUGUCCCUAAGUGCUGUAUCUACAUGUCUUUUAAAUGCCCUGGACAGCCUGGUCUGGUGCUUAACAACCCUCUCAUUGAAGAAAUGUUUCCUAAUAUCCAAUCUAAAUGUCCUCUGAAACAACUUGAGGCCAUUUCCUCUUGUCCUGUCACUGGUUACCUCGGAGAAGAGAUCGACCCCCACCUGGCCAUACCCUCUUUCUGGCAGUUACAGAGAGAGAUAAGUUCCCUUCUGAGCCUCUUUUUCUCCAGGCUGAGCAACCUCAGCUCCUUCAGCUGCUCCUCACAGGACUUGUGCUCCAGACCUUUCACCAGCUCCGUUGCCCUUCUCUGGUGCUCCAGCACUUGAAUGUCCUUGUAGCGAGGAGCCCCAGACUGAACACAGUUAUUGGCAGCAUGGCCUCACCAGUGGAUACAAAAGGAUUCAAAUGAGGUGCUGUGGAAAGCUGGGUGCACAAUAGUAUUGCUUCUCCUUUGCAACAUGCAGUUUGCAUCUUCUCCAAGUGGGACAUGUCCCAUCAUUUGAAAUCUGCUGAGUGUAGAUGAAUUAAUUUAUUCCUUUUCCCCCUUCCUGUAGCACUCAUAAGAAUGUGAUGGAGUUUUUUCCACAUGAUGAGUUACGACUUUUAGAUAAUGUUUGUCUUACUAAACAGCAGAAAAAAAGUCUUGGAUUUCUAAAGCUUGGUCCCUUUGAUUUGCAUUUUUCUGUGAUCUAUGAUCUUCCUAAAAAUAAAUUAAUUCAGUGGAUUAUUACACCUACUGAUGAUAAAUUGAAUCUUAUGGACAGUGGGAUUGCUUUUCUUAAUUAUUAUUUUGCACAUCCCUAAAAAGUUGUUCCUAAAUACUAAAGAGUCUGUGGAAAGACUGAAAGCAAUGUCAUAGGACAUCCCCUUAAAUGAAAGGGGUUUUAUAAAAUGCAGUGGGAUUUUCUUGGCACGUAUCUUUUCAUAAGUCUGAAGCUUUUAUUUAACAGUUUUCCUUCUUAAUAUUGAUUAUGAUUGCAUACUUAUGUUUAUGACUAAACUUAGCUAACGAGAUACAUGAUUUCUGCUCAAAUUUGGAACUCAGUAAUUAAUAAUCCUGUCAGCACAUGACUAUACAAAUAGAUUAUGUACCAGGAUCACCAUAACAAUAGUAAAAAAGCAUACUUUUGGGGGUUGGGGGGAUUGGUUGGUUUGGGUUUUUUUCCAAGAGGGUAAGUUAUUUUGAUAGAAAACAAUUUUGUGCUUCUCUCUUGGUCGGAUUUCUAUACUGGCUAUAGAGAUCGUUCUUUUAGUUAGUCAAUAUUGGUCCCUAAAAAUUGGCUUUACUUUUGUUGUUUGUCAUGUGUCAUUUUAUCUUUGAAGACUGCAGGAGUUCAUGAUUCCUGAGAAGUAACACCUUGAAGUUCUGGCACUAUCUUCUACAAAGUAACUUACACUGAGCUGGCUUCCUGUUACUGUGUCAAUGAAACAUCAAAUGUUGAUACUAUGUGUGAAACAACAUUUGAUAUUAUGGCUAUUAAGCUACUUGAAAAAAUACUGUGAAGGUGGAUUUUGUGUUUACAAGACCUGGCAUUUAAAAAUGUAUGUCAUGGAUGCAGGUAAUAAAUGUUGUUUAUGAAUUGUUACAGGAUAGAAAAUACUUAUCUUUGUGUACAAUAUGCUAGUCUUAGCGCUAGCUAUUUUUAUCUCCUAAAUAUCUUAUAAUAAGGUGGUUAUAAAUAUUUAAAGACAUGAAUAAUUUCAUUUGUUGAAGCAUUGUGUGCACCAUUUAGAAUGGCUGCUAAAGGAGAGAAGUGGACAUGCCUUUCUCAUAACAGCUAAACAUGAAAAUAAGGUAUCAGAGAUAAUGAUAUAGUUCAAAUCAGUAAAAAUCAUUGUUUUGCUGUAUGAGCAUAGCUCUUUACAGAAUGAUGAUCUCAUUUUAAGGUUACAGAUAUCUAAAUAGAUUCACUGCAGAACUUUAUUCUAGUGUUUUUAUAUCUUUGCUGGAAAUAAGAGAACAUAAACACUUAAAUUUUAAGUUAUUGAUCUUCAGCCAUGCUAAAAGCUUUCAGAACUCAGUAUUUAACCCCAGGAUUGGAUCCAUAGCCCUUUUAAAUUCUGGAAUUUCAGAAACUGUGCAGGUGAGUUGGAAAAAGCAAAGGAAGAAACUGAAAUGGGCAGAAGGAAAGUAUUGUCCUUUACAGAAGGAAAGCUAAAAAAAAACCUUAAUGAGCAUAGGAAAAAUAAUAGGAUGAAAGAGAGGAGUCAGGUGAGUAUUUACAGUAAUAUAUUUUAUAUGGUGCUCAGAUAUGUUAUGCUUUGCACUUGCAUGGAAAACAGAGUAAGACUUCAGCUUUUUAACUGCUGUUCUGAGCUGUACUUUACUUGCUGUGCAUUUUUAUUUUAGCACAGUCACUUCUAAGGAAGGCUUUAAAUUGAUUUUCAGGGCCAACCUGAAUCACAAAAUUCAUUAUCCCGCUGAAAUUAUGACUGCCACAAUGUUUGUCUUCUCAAGUUAGCUCUUAAAACCCCCACUAUUAGACAUGAAAAAAGUCAAAACCAUUUAAAAAAUAUAUAUUUCUGUUAAUUCUAGUCACUAGCAUUUGAGAAAAGGCACAAGCAGGCAUGCAAUAACAGUUAAGUGUCAGAAUUUCUGUGUAAAACUUAAUUGUAAUAGUACUGAAAUUGAAAAUAGAAACUGCUAAUUAACUGUUACUCAGCAAGACUAGGCGAAGUCAAUCAAUUCAUAACCGAAUGUAGCUGUAGAACAAUGGUUUACUUACAUUGGUAUUCAUUACAGGUUAGACAUCAGUGUGGAUUUCAUCCGUAAGCUGUAAUAAAAUAAAAUAAAUUAGGAAAUGGCAAAAAAAAAGUUUCAUUCAGGAAUUUGUUCAUGGACGUGCUUAGUUUCUGCAUGAUUCCCGUAAGCGUAUAUAGCAUUAUAGCAAGAGUAUAUGUUUAGGGAAAUCCCAUACUUUUUAAACUGAGCAGUUAGCAAAUAUUCAUAGAGUGACUAUAACUGAUCUUCAUGAAUUACCAUGCAAAAACCCCAUUUAACUACAGAGAUAAGGAUCCCACAUUUUCUUACAUUCACUCAGUGGUGAGUGUUCACCUGAGCAACACUUCCCUGUAACUGAACUCUGAGCUGAUGUGUGGCAGAGUAUCAUCCCCUCUAAAACUGCCCCGUUGCUGAAGAGGACAGAGAGUGAAAAUGGGUGGAGCAGGGAGAACUCUUAUGGUGCCAGUUCACAAUUAAUUUUGGAAUGGUAACAUCUACUUUUUGGAAUGUAGUGUAUUAAUUUCUGCUGAUAGAGAUAGGUCAGCAUAAGAACUAUGCUAUAAAUUGCUGUGUGAUAGGGUUCCCAUUCCUGUGCCAUGUCUGUGUCACUGGGCGGCAGUUUUUAAGGGCACCCAGUAAAGAUAUGAAUACUGAAAAACUAACGUAACUGUGCUCUUCAUGUUUGUGCUAAAAGGAAAAAUGAAAUUAAAUGGAGAUAAAACUUUUAGAAGUUCUAAAUAAGAGACUUCUUGGUCCAUUUUAUAGUUAGCCCUUGCUGUUAUGUCGUUUUGCAAUGAUGUUACACUAUUUCAUGUUGCAUGAUUCUAGAAUAGUUUAGAUCAUGUAAAUUGUUCAGUGCAAAAUCCCAUUUCAGGUAUAUUUAGAUUUUAAAGAUGUCUUUUUAAUUGCAUUGUAACUGACAACUCUGUGUUGUCCUCAUGUAAUAGGCAUGAUAUCAUGACAUCAAGAUGCCUGUAUUCUAAAAUAAUCAUUAGUGGAAGACCACUGCAUGCGUAGGUCUCCAAAUGGGUAUGAAUUGUGCAGUCCCAGGACUAUGUCUCUCAGAUUUUCUGUAUUAACAAGUAGGUGCCAACAAUGAACUGUCCCUUUGGUGUAUUUCAGCCCUCAGAUCACUGCCCAGGAGGAAAGCUCACUUUCCCAUCCCCUUCUGUGAUCAUUUAUGCUUUGGUACUGCUGUUCUGUAAGCACACAGUCUUGGUUUUGCGUCUGGGCUGGCAAGCUGGUGAAGGUGGUAUGAAGAGGUUUUUUCCACAGACCGGCUCCACACUGAAGUUUCCUGCACAGAGACUGGGCUAUAUACCAACUUUAAAACCAGCCCUUCACCCAUGACUCUUUUAUUUAAUUGUAGUUCAUUUAAAAUAACAAUUAAAAUAUGUGUCCAUGACCAUGACAUUGGAUUUCAGCAUUUUUUCACAGCAGUACUUACUGUACUUACUGUAUUUAGUAACAAAUUACUGAAAUAUCAGCAGUGCCAUUUUAAGUAUCAGUUAAAUGUGAUAUUUAAUGAAUUAUGUCUUAAUGUUUGGAACAGAGAAUUCUAGUGAUGUUAAUCUUAAAUUUUUGUUUACAGCAGAUAAACUUUAAGCCAAGUAGUACAUAAUUAGUUGUAACAGAAGAGCAAACUCCUUUUAUUUGGGUCAGGCUUUGUUUUUGUGCUCAGUGUAGUGCACACAAGUACUGUUCAGUAGUAAAAAAUAUUAUGCAGCACUAACCUAUUACAUGUUCUGUGCAGAUGAAAGUCAUCAGUAAAUUUUCUUUGUUCAGAUUAAAGGAAGUUGAAAAUAUGCUGAAUCUUUUAUUAUUUUAAUCCAGACAUUGUUAUCCAUAAAUAUUCAGCUUGAAGAUAAGAUGCUAGGUUCAUAAAUACCUAGUGAACUUCACAAAAUUAAUUACAUUUCAAAUAUGUGAUUCAGAAUCUAAGAUUCAGACCUUAGGAUGGGAUGAAUCGCCCUCUGGGGGUGCCCAUUUUGUUUUGCUGACUUCUCAGGAAUCCUGCUCUGAAUUGACUAGUUCAAACUAAAAGUUAAGUGACUGGCCUGACACCUUAAUCAAGAAAUAACUGAGCAUUUCAUACCAUAGUAGAUCUUUUCUUUAGACCUCUCUAAGGAUGGCUGCCUUAUUCCUCACCUUUUGUGUCAGUGUUCUUGUACUGUUUCUAAUAUGAAUAAACACGACUGUUGCUGUUGCCA